GAUGAACGCUGGCGGCGUGCCUAAUACAUGCAAGUCGAGCGAACGGACGAGAAGCUUGCUUCUCUGAUGUUAGCGGCGGACGGGUGAGUAACACGUGGAUAACCUACCUAUAAGACUGGGAUAACUUCGGGAAACCGGAGCUAAUACCGGAUAAUAUUUUGAACCGCAUGGUUCAAAAGUGAAAGACGGUCUUGCUGUCACUUAUAGAUGGAUCCGCGCUGCAUUAGCUAGUUGGUAAGGUAACGGCUUACCAAGGCAACGAUGCAUAGCCGACCUGAGAGGGUGAUCGGCCACACUGGAACUGAGACACGGUCAAGACUCCUACGGGAGGCAGCAGUAGGGAAUCUUCCGCAAUGGGCGAAAGCCUGACGGAGCAACGCCGCGUGAGUGAUGAAGGUCUUCGGAUCGUAAAACUCUGUUAUUAGGGAAGAACAUAUGUGUAAGUAAAUGUGCACAUCUUGACGGUACCUAAUCAGAAAGCCACGGCUAACUACGUG
rnacentral:rRNA from 1 species